CCUACGGGAGGCAGCAGUAGGGAAUCUUCGGCAAUGGGCGGAACCCUGACCGAGCAACGCCGCGUGAAGGAAGAAGGAAUUCGUUCUGGAAACUUCUGUUAUAAAGGAAGAAAGACGGCUGGAGCACAUGACAUCCGAGUGACGGUACUCUAUGAGAAAGCCACGGCUAACUACGUGCCAGCAGCCGCGGCAAUACGUAGGUGGCAAGCGUUAUCCGGAGUUAUUGGGCGAAAAGAGGGAGCAGGCGGCAGCAAAGGUCAGCGGUGAAAGACUGGAGCUUAACUUCGGUACGCCAUUGAAACCGGGCGGCUAGAGUGCAGGACAGGCACGUGGAAUUCGAGGUGUAGCGGUGAAAUGCGUAGAUAUAUGGAGGAACACCAGUGGCGAAGGCGACGAUCUGGCCUGCAACUGACGCUGAGGCUCGAAAGCGUGGGGAGCAAACAGGAUUAGAUACCCCAGUAGUC
rnacentral:rRNA from 1 species